AUUGAACGCUGGCGGCAGGCCUAACACAUGCAAGUCGAACGAGUGGCGGACGGGUGAGUAAUUUCUGGGAAACUGCCCGAUGGCGGGGGAUAACUACUGGAAACGUUAGCUAAUACCACAUAACCUCGGAUGUGCCCAGAUUGGAUUAGAUAGUAGGUGGGGUAACGGAUAACCUAGGCGACGAGCCAUAGCUGGUCUGAGAGGAUGACCAGCCACACUGGAACUGGGACACGGUCCAGACUCCGACGGGAGGCAGCAGUGGGGAAUAUUGCACAAUGGGCGCAAGCCUGAUGCAGCCAUGCCGCGUGUAUGAAGAAGGCCUUCGGGUUGUAAAGUACUUUCAGCGAGGAGGCGUUACUCGCAGAAGAAGCACCGGCUAACUCCGUGCCAGCAGCCGCGGUAAUAC
rnacentral:rRNA from 1 species